GGGUUGUUAGCUCAGUUGGUUCAGAGCACUACCUUGACAGGGUAGGGGUCACUGGUUCGAGCCCAGUACAACUCAC
rnacentral:tRNA from 1 species